UCCGAUAUGGUGUAGUGGCUAACAUCGCUCGCUCUCAUUCAUCUCUUUGAGUUACCGAGCAGCCCGGGGUUCGAUUCCCCGUAUCGGAG